GCCUUGGUGGCUCAGUUGGUUGAGCAUCUGACUCUUGGUUUUGGCUCAGGUCAUAAUCUCCUAGUUUCGUGGGUUCGAGCCCUGCCUCGGGCU
rnacentral:tRNA from 1 species